GGUUUUGGAUUCAGGAAGACGGGUAGAAUUCAGUCGGCCGUAUAAGUUGCUGCAAAAUAGAAACAGCCUAUUUUACAAGAUGGUGCAACACCUGGGGGAGGCCGAGGCCGCUGCCCUCACUGAGACAGCAACACAGGUGCACAUGGAAAGGAAAUAGCCAGAAAUUACUCACAACAGCCACACGGUUCUGAAUGUUUCCAGUGGACGGGCCUCCACCUGAGCAGUGUGGGGGCAGCACUGUGAUCCUGCCAUGAGGGCAGGUGUGCUCCAGAGGCAUUUCUCCAAGUUUUUGCAUUGCAUAAACUGUAUUUUACUUUUUUUUAAUACCAGCAACAAAUAUUUACACAUACAGGAUGUUAGUUUAUUUUUUUUUUCUUACACCUUCACCCGGUGAUUGCAAGCUCUUACAAAAAUGAUUUGUUAUUUUUAUUUAUAUGUUACACUUUUUUUUCUUAUCCAAAUCAGAGGCUCAGGCCACCAAUAAAAACUGUCUCUCAGGUUUUGUGCCUCGAGAGACUCCAGAGCAAAGCUUAUUUUCUAAGCUAUAAGACAGAGUUGUCCCAGAGGUGUUUUACUGCUCCUCCCUUCCCCCAAUUACAUCCUACUACUUUCCAGUUAUAUCAGGGAUCCUGUUCACCUGAAGACUGUGUAAAGUUGUCAUUUUCACUCAUUUCUUCCUUUAACAGAACUAGGAUCCAUUAUUCCACCCAAAUACUUCACAGGAAAAACAAAAAAUAUAUACUUUAGUUUGUGACAUUAUGGAAGAGAGGUGCCCCCCCUCCAAAACAUAAAAAGACCUGUGGUUAAGAUAGAGGACAGUCUUUAUAUGGUCUAAGAGAAGGAAGAGAAAAUAUCCUCCAGAGGGAUUUGAUAAUGAAGGACACACAUGUGACUGAUCGUCUUCUGGAUGGAGGGUUUUAUUUUUUACACUUUUAUUGUGGUAAAAUGUAUUUAACGUCAAAUAAGCCUACAAUUCAGCCGCCUUAAUGGCAUUCACAGUGUUGUGCAACAAUCAAUGUCUGGUUAAUUUUUGGUAAUUAUCUUAGUACUAUUCAGGUUUUUUUCUUUUUUCUUUUUGUCUCUUUUUGUCUUUUUUUAAGGCCUGCACCCAUGGCAUAUGAAAGUUCCCAGGCGAGGGGUUGAAUUGGAGCUGCAGCCGCCAACCUACACCACAGCCCCAGCAACGCCAGAUCCAAGCCAUGUCUGUGGCCUACACCACAGCUCAUGCAAUGCCAGAUGUGUAACCCACUGAGUGAGCCCAGGGAUUGAACCUGCAUCCUCGUGGAUCCUAGUCAGGAUUGUUAACUGCUGAGCCAUGAAUGGAACUCUGCAGUGUGUUUUUUUUACAGAUUCAUUUUUGGUAAGUUUUAUUUCUCUAGGAGCGGAUCUAUUUCCUGUGAAUUUUGAGCUUGAUUGGUAUAAAGUUAACCAUAAUAUCUUAUACAUUUAAUCUCUGCAGCAUCUAUAAUUGUGUUCAUUUUGGCUUAUUAAUUUUCUUUGGACCUUCUCUCUAAGAAUAAUCUUACAUGACUUUUGCCUAUUAAUUUUCAAGAGUCAGUUUUUUUGCUUAAUUGAUCUUUGUUUUUUUUUAAAUUUUUAGUUAGUCAUAAUAUUCUUUCUUUUAACUUUUCAUUUCCUUAGAGAUUUUUUUCUCAAAAUUCUGAAAUUGGAAACAAUAUCAAUUAUUUUUCUAAUGUCAGUAGAUGAAGCCUACUUUUUCUAAGACCCACUUUAGCUUCAACCUACAGGUUUAGGUACUUGUCAAUAACCAUAGUGUUAUAUAUUUUCUAAUUUCUAAUUUAAUUAUUAGUUAUGUAUUUUACCCACAUGUUAUUCCUAAGCAUAAUGUUCUCUAAAUUUCAAAGGCUGAUUCAUUUUUUUCUAUUAGCUUGAAGCAUAUGGAACAUAACGUAGUUUUAACCUAUCAAAUGGCAGUUUUCUAUGGUUCAACAUGAUAGUUUUCUUUGGUUAAUAUUUACCUUAAUUUCAUUUUAGUCAGAGAACAUUAUGGAUUUUAAACCAAAGCUAACCGUGUUCAUUCCCAAAGUCCUGUUUCUGCAAUUUUGUAUUCUCUUUGGGGAUUUUUAAAGUUGUAAGUUGUGAAUAACUAAUAAUUUUCAAAUAAAAAUCCUGAACACU
rnacentral:lncRNA from 1 species